CUAAGGAGCACUUCUCCGCGACGCUCCACAGAGGUGAAUGUGGUUGUGGCAGAGACCGUUCGAGUCCCCGACUGUGGGACCGCGGAAGCUCAUGGGUGGAACGCUGACAUGUGCCAGGUUUCGGCCUGAGGUAGUCGACACACUGUUGGGUCCUGAAAGAACACGCGAGUGUCUCUUUCGAGGCAAAGUAAUACGAUCCGGAAGGGUCUCCAGUGAUACCGCGGGAAUUGAGUUUCCGUUAGGUCUUGGGACAGGGUUCUUUCGGGUGUGUUGUAUGAGAACUGCACAGUGGACGCGAGCAUCUUUGUUUGUAAGUGUUUAAGGGCGUUC
rnacentral:misc_RNA from 1 species